ACCUGGGGCUGGAGAGAUGGCUCAGUGGUUAAGAGCAUUGCCUGCUCUUCCAAAGGUCCUGAGUUCAAUUCCCGGCAACCACAUGGUGGCUCACAACCAUCUGUAAUGAGGUCUGGUGCCCUCUUCUGGCCUGCAGGCAUACAUGUAGAAAGAAUAUUGUAUACAUAAUAAAUAAAUAAAUAUUUAAAAAAAAAGUUUUUCUCUUAUGUAACAAAAGAAAUAGAAGAGUAAUGCAAACUUAAAACUAUCUAAUGAAUACUGUUUUUUAAGUUUUAAAUUAAAUUUGUAAGCUAUACAGAUUGAUCCUGUUGAGGUUACAAAUUAAGCUGUCUUUUCCUUUCAGAUUCUCAAUCAAAUGGUUUUCCUGUCAACCGCCAGUAGGUAAGAUACCUGAAACCAACACUUCUUUCUGCAAUCACUCUCUCCAUCUUGAUAGUUUGAAAUGCAGACUCUUCAAAAGAAUAAAAUUAAGGGACUGGGUGGGAAUGGGAGUAACCAGAAGCCUAGAACAAGGAAAGUUAAAAUUAGACAUUGCACCAAUCAGAAGCGCAAACUUCCACUAUGAACAUCUAUCGUGUUGUAAGUAGUCAACACAAAUGAUUCUCCACACAAUGCAGCUCUUAGAUGUAAACACAAAGUGCCCAUCAUGUCGUAAACAUGCUAAUAUUUUCAUUCUCCUUACUAUUCCGGCAAUUUUCCUGCUUUGAAAUGUUUUCUUACCCACUGACAACACAGGAAUUUUUUUUUUUUUUAGAAAAAACAAGACAAAGCCUAUUUUUAAAAAGGACUGUCUCAUCUCAAUAUCUCUAAAACUAAGCAUUGAAGCUAAAAUGAAACACACGCGAGUGUUACACGACAUAUGCCGUUAUGAUAACCAAAUUCUGUCCCCAAUCUGACAACUAAUGCUUACUGAGUAACUGUUUAUUAUUAUCUGUGAACUGUCAGUAUCUGUGCGCAGUUCCACACAUAGGUUAAUUCAUCCAGUUGUCAAGAACCUGGGAAUGUUAAUGACUGCACUUUAGAAAAAGGCACGGAGAAGUUGUUGCCCGCUAGGUUAACACAUUUUGUGAGUGAAGAAUCAAGAACAGAGCCCCCAAAGCUUGACUGUACAUCCCACGUGCUUCUCCAUUACGUGUGACUUUUCUAUUUCAUCAAGCGCUACAGCCACCUGGUACCAAGAGUGGGUAUGUGUGCAGAAACAGGUUCCCAGUGUGUUGCAACUGUGACGGGCAGCAGUUACAAAACCUAUUCCCGUCUUGAUUUGAAUUUGGCAAAAACAAAACAAAACCAUUUCAUGGAACCAGUGGCUCACCAUAAAAUUAGAAUCCCCUCCCCUUGUCAAGUGGGCAGAGAACAAGUAGCUUCAUUUUCUUAAAACAGCGCCUUAUGCCUUUCUCUUCAGAGGUAAUUUCUGCCAGCUCUUGAGGACAAAUAACCUGUGCUCCUAAGUUUUCAGUUCACUCCCUGAACGGGGAACACUUGGGUCUCCCCUUUGGUCUGAACUGAAAGGCAAGCAGUCCUUCCACCUUCCUAGCCUUCGCUGUCGGCUGUCGAAGGGGAGGGAGCGCAGGCCAAUCACAAAGGCUAGGAAGCAGGAAAGCAGGAGAGGCCAGGCGUCUUUCCGACACGGUCACCCCGCGGCCGGGGACAGCCAUCCCGCGGUGACUCGGGGAGGGGCGGAGUGUCACGGGCGUGCACUGCCCGCGGACCGCCACGCCCCCGGAGGCUCGCUUCCCGCCGUAGCCCACCCUGGCCUCCGGACUGCUCUCGCCCCGGGAUGUCACCUGUGCCGUCGACACGAAGUCGUGUCAACACCUUUCCAUCCCAUCAGCUUACAGCUGCAGCGCAGCGAGCGCCCCGGUCCCAGGCCAGCACGAGACCGCCAUCUUAGACAGCUCCAGCCAGCGGCCAUUUCAGAGCGGCCCCCUCGCGGGCGCCUCUGCCCUCACCUUCAGCGAGCCCUGAACCAGGUUUAGAGCCAGCCGUCUCGGACUGGAGGGAGGAGCGAGGGAUGAAAAACAAAGCCGGGGGAGGAGGAUGCGGGGCGGGGUGAUGCUGUCAGCUCGGGGAUACCCUACGACGCCUCAAAGGCUUUCGAUCUUGGGACUGAAAAUCCCUUCAGUGCUCCGCGGCGGCCAGACGCUACGAUCUGAGCGACUUCGCCGCCGUCCAAUCAGCGCCAGAGUUUAUCCUUCGUCACCAGUCCUCGCUGAGCACUGAGGCGGGACUAAGGGUCCAGGCUUGGUAGAGGCGCCGGGCGGCUGAGCUCCGGGUCCGCCGCUGGGUCAGGAGCGGAUUCCCGGGCUCCGCAGUUCCACCUGGGUGAUGCUGCCAGCUAGGCGGAGCCCAGGCCGGCUUUUCCCUCAGCUCAGGUGGCCUGAGCGGGCGGCGCUGUCGGGUGUGGAUCGGAAGCUCGCGAGCCGGUGCUGCUGGAUCUCAGCCCCACUCCAUUGCCCGGACGUUCAGCACCGGGAAGCGGGAAAACUCACUUUCUCCCCUCUGCAUCAUCCUCGGCCAUGGCAAUCAGGCCCUGCCGAGGUCAAGUCUCCUGUAGUCAGGUCUCCCAUGUGGCCCAGGGGUGAGACGAAGGGGAAAGUCCUUAGAUCUUUUUCUCUUUCUGAGGUGCCUCUCAGUUACCGACUCAUCCCUGACCCCUCCGCUGGUGGGCUGCAUUUGCAUUUUUAAGUCGUCCAUCUUCGUCCCCUCUUUUUCCCAAAAGGGCGAGGUUAGGAUUGAGGCCGUGUGCGCUCUUCUCUUUGCUAUUGUGUGGCAUCCCUGUAGAUCCGAAGGCUUUCCCCAGAUCGGCACCUUGAAAUAGACGCAGUGUGUGAAAGUACAGGUCGUAUUAGACACUGGGUUUCGUUAUUUUCAAAAUAACAUUUUGGCCUUUUGAGACUUCACAGAAAUGGCUGAAGGUUGGGUCGUUUAUUUCAGACCCUGCAAGCAACGACAGAAAAUUCUCCAUUUGGCAUUAACACCGAGGGGAGAUUCUCUUUUUCUUAAACAUGCUUCUUCAACUUG